CACUCAAGUUCCGUGUCACCACAGGAACAUCAAAGGAGGAAGCUUAAAAGCAAAGUAAAAUUGCUGGGAAUAGGUACAAUUCUAAUCUUGGACUCUGAAGCAUUUUAUCCCUGAAUAGAGAAAACAACCUGAAGGGCUGUUUUUCUUGGCAGCUGUUAAAUGACAGCAAGGAGGUGCUGCAACACCAGACCCACGAAAAUGGAUAAGGAGGAGACCAUCAGAGAAGAAAACAAGUGAUAAACAGCACACAGUCAUAGGGAGAUGAUGAAAUUUGAAAUCUUCUCUUUAGAUCGAAAUGAGGAAGUUAUUCAAAUGAAAUUAACAGAAGGAUACUUAAAAUAAAA